AUGGGCGAAAAGGGGGGGGGAAAGAAAAAAGAAAACCAACCCCCCGAGACGAAGCCCGAGUCCUCUGAAUUCUGUGCAGUGCAACUCGGGGGCCUAUUUCGGUUCCUGAUCGUGCGGUGGGGGUGGAGAAAAGGGGAUUUCUCGGCGUUUCGAAAUGGGACGGAGCACGUCGGCAGAGUUCAGCAGGCUGCUCGGCCACCCGGGGCGCACCCACCCGGGGCGCACCCACCCGGCCCUCGGCUCGCCCCGGGGGCCCCGCGCACUCGCCCCGGCCGCGCCUGCACCGCGUUCCGUGUCCCCCUCGAAAGCCCUCCGUGGGCGGCGGGGAGCGGGGGGCGUCCCGGGGAGCCGGGGGGUCCCGGGGGGGCCGAGGGGGGGCCCGGAGGCGCGGGGGGCAGACGCGCUCGCUCCGGGUCCCGCCGGGCCGGAGGGCGCAGGGCGCAGGGCGGAGGGAGGUCAGGCCGGGGAAGGCGUCCGGGCGGGGGCCGCCGAGGCGGGGCGGGGCGGGGCGGGGCGGGCAGCUGGCGGGAGGCCCCGCGGGGGGGUGGGCGGGGCGGGGCGCGGGGCCCCCGGCGGGGCGCUGCAGGGCGGCCGCCACCCGGCUGCCUCCGGGGCGGGGCGGGGCGGCCCAGCUGCGGCCUCGCGGGGGGAGGGUCGCCCGUGCCUGACCUCGGGCGGCGGCGCCUCCGCCCCGCCGGCUGCUGGGGUCGCGCACAGUGCACGGCGCGGCCGCCCCGCCCCUCCCCUCCCCUGCGCGCCCCCCGCCCCCGCCCCCUCCCCGUCCCCCUCCCCCUCCCCCGGCGCGCGGCAGCCGAGCGGCCGGGGCGCCCCCGGGUCUGGCCGUCAGCGCGGAGCAGCGGGCGGGGCGGGGCGGGGCGGCGGCGGCCCCAGACAGCCGGCUGGGCGACUCGAGGAAGGAAGGAGGGCGGGCGGCGGGCGGCGGGCGGCGGGCGGGGGUGGGGCGGGGAGGGCACAUCCUGUCUGCGCCGGGUGCACCGCAGACAGCGCCGCGCGCCAGCCGCCCAGACGGCGCGCGAGGAGGCCGGGGCGCGGGGGCGCGCCUGGGGCGGGGGCGCGGGGGGCGGGCGCGGGGGGCGGGGGCGGGGCGGGCGCGGGAGCCCCAGUAGCCAGACGGCGCGCGCCCGAGGGGGGGGGGAGCGGGGGGCGGGGGGCGGGGCGGCGGGGGCGCGCGCGCGGGGCCGCCGCCGGCUCGGCUCGCGUCCCCUCCCCCUGCCCGCCCCCGGGCGGCCGGAGACGGCGGCGGCGUCUGCGGGAAGCCGUGUGUCUCCGCAGUGA
rnacentral:lncRNA from 1 species